rnacentral:rRNA from 1 species
UACGUAGGGUGCGAGCGUUGUCCGGAAUUAUUGGGCGUAAAGAGCUUGUAGGCGGUUUGUCGCGUCUGCUGUGAAAAUCCGGGGCUCAACCCCGGACUUGCAGUGGGUACGGGCAGACUGGAGUGUGGUAGGGGAGACUGGAAUUCCUGGUGUAGCGGUGGAAUGCGCAGAUAUCAGGAGGAACACCAGCGGCGAAGGCGGCAUCCUGGACUGGUCCUGACACUCAGGAGCGAAAGCGUGGGGAGCGAUCCGG